CUUUGACAUAUGACUCAUUCAGAGCAGCUCAAAUGCCAUUGCUGAGUAUGCCACAAAUUAUUCAAGGAAAAAAAAAUCAUAGCAAAUACCAAUUUACUUUUGCUGUUAUUAGUACAACUGUUGAACUGAUUGGAGGAAGAUAGGGUGGUGUAUAAGUGGAGGACGGUGCACACAAGUGGACUACAUCUUAUGUAGUAGGCGCAAUCUGAAAGAGGUAGGAGACUGCACGGUGGUCGCACAGGAGAAUUUAACUAGGCAGCAAAGAUGGUAGUCUGUAGGAUCACUUCAAUCAUCAAGAGGAAGCGAGGGCAGAGGCUCAGGAAGGAAUUGAGACGUGCUCUGGGUGGAAGGGAAGAAUUACAAGCUGACUGGGAACAUACAGCUGUAGUGCUGAGGGAAGCUGCCAAGCUGUUUGGUGCAUCCUCUGGACAGAGGAAGUAUUGGAAGGUUAGGCUUAUGGCAAAGAGAGAAAAUCUAUCUGCUUGGCCAAUCUAUCAAUUGGCCAGGCAGAGAGAGACUGAGAUGGAAAAGAUGUGCAGUGGGUUAGGAUGAUUAAACACAGAAAUGGAAAUGUGCUAGUGAUUGAAGAGUCUGCUGACAAGACAGAAGACAGAAGAAAUACUCCAAGGAACCGAUGAAUGAAGAAAUCGAGAGUGAGAGGAGGAUAGAUGGUGGAGAGUUUUUGAAUCAGGUAGUGCAGAGGAUUAGUAAGGAAUAAGUGAAGGCAGCUAUGAAGAUGAUGAAGAGUGGAAAGACAGCUGGUCCAGAUGACAUAGCUGUGAUGGUGUGUGAAUUACCGGGAAACUGGUGGAAAUGGUAACAUGUAAGGAGUAGAGAUGAGUUUAAAUACCUGGGGUCAACCAUACAAAGCAACGGACACGGCAAAAGAGAGGUGAGGCAGGGUAGUCUUGGUGGAAAUGAGUGUCAGGGGUGAUAUGCGAUAGAAGGGUAGCAGCAAGAGUGGAAGAGAAGGCUUACAAGGCGCCAGUGAGACCUUACUCCACCACAAUAAGAGGCUGAGGUGGAAGAGGUCGCAGAAUUUUAGAUGUUAAGAUUUAAAUUCAGAUUGACCAGAAAGGACAAGAAAGAGAAAUGAGUACAUCAGAAAGAUAUCUCUGAGUGAGCGGUUUGGAGAGAAAAGGUUGAGAUGGUUUAGGAUGUAUGCAGAGGAGGUUUGUGGAUGUAGUGCAGGGGGUUGGUGUGACAGAAGAGGAUACCAGAGACAGGGAGAGGUGGAUGCAGAUGAUCUGCUGUGGUGACCCCUAAAGGGAUCAGCCAAAACAACUAUCAAUACAUGUGUUGUAAACAUAUACUUGCUUGUGCAAAAACUAGUUGAGAAAUCUGUACUGGAAACUUUAACCCUGAGAAAAUCUCACAAAAACUAAAGAUCCUUUGGUGCUCACAUGUUCUUAACUGCUCCAGUCACGCAGGUAUUCAACCAAUGAGGAUCAAAAGUCAAACUAAUAUUACUGCAGAUAUUAUGUGAUGAUUGAACUGGAUAAACAGAAGAGAACGGUUCGAUGGAUGAGUGUUUUAAUACACCUCAGCAGGAAAAAGGAAAAAGACUCCUGAGGCUGACAGAAAAUGAAAGGACAUCUAUCACUUGAGAUGACUGUGAGUGCAAUAUCAUACCACUAAAAUACUCAGGAAACUCUUCCAAAGGUUAAAUCUGCAUACUUUCAUUCAUUGCAUGCCUCUGUGUAGGGAUGGGUACCGGUGUCAUGGCACCGGUUCUGACAUAAACGGUAGUAACCAGACCGAAAAGCAGCGCACAUUUCGGUGCUUUAUUUCGGUGCUUUUAUUCCUGAGCUGUGAUACACUUCUAGCCAAUCAUUUUACGUUUCCGAGGAUAGUAGGCGGGUCCAGGUAGAGCUACAGAUUAAAAAUGCCCAAAGCGAAGCGGUCAAAAGUCUGGCUGUACUUCACAGCAAAAGAUGCAAACUCAGCAGCAACAAGUGCUUUAAGCUGAUACUGUGAUACUGUCAAAGGAAGUAACACCUCAAAUCCGAUGAAACACCUGGCGACACAUAGCGUUUUUUUAAAAAGCCCAGAAAUGCGUAUUUGAUAGCUUGCUGCGAGACCUCACACCGAGCACAUCUACUGCGGGUGGGUUGGCUGUUAUGCAACAUCCCCCAAAAACACGAAGAGGAGAGUCCUGGCCCCUAGCCCUGC
ensembl:lncRNA